AGCGGGAGUAGCUCAGUUGGUAGAGCGCUAGCUUCCCAAGCUAAUGGUCGCGGGUCCGAGUCCCGUUUCCCGCUU
rnacentral:tRNA from 1 species